AUGGCAGUCUUUUCAACCUCUCAUCCUUCGUGUGGCACAGAGAAAAAAGAGAGGGGAGAGGGAGAUGGACCCCCUAGACCUGCGCAAUAUAAGAAGGCAGUUGCUCUCGAUUUCAGGAAUUUUCUCCUCCCUGCAAUCAUCUUAACAAAAGAUAAUCUGCUUCUCGUUCGAAUAGACCCUCCACUUGAAAAUCAAGAAGAUAGACAGGAAAGAUGUCUCUGUCCACAGAUUUUGCUUCCCUGGCCAUCUUCACGGAGGAGUGUUAUUUCAGCAACGCCACCAUGGACAUGGCGAGGAGCGAUGAGCAAGAGCGAGAGCCAGAGCGAGGAGUUGAUGAGAACGGAGGAACGGAGAAGAGGGAUGAAGAAGCGGCGACGAGGCCUUGUAUUGCCUUGGAGUUUGAUGGGUUGCACUGCUUUGAGACAAUCGUGUCGCAUUGACUCGUCCUUGUAAUUUACUUUGUCUUCUUUUUUCUUUUUUUUAAAUUUGUUUCUUUUUGUGCUGUUCUUUUUCCUCUUUUUUUGGGGGAGGUGGCCAAUUCCUUUUAGAUCUGGUUAGAUCGUAAGGAAUGAAGAUGCAAUUUUGAGGGUCCAAACCCUUUUUCUCUCU